rnacentral:tRNA from 1 species
UCCCGUGUAGCUCAGUUGGUAGAGCAUGGUGUUUGCAACACCAGCGUUGUGGGUUCGAUUCCCACAGGGGAC